AGAUUUAAUAUGAUUUUUUUGCUUUAGAGUGCAGUUUGUAUCUCAACGUUAAAGAGAAUUGUUUUGUGUCAGUAUCAGGUAUUGAAUGCACACCAGCAAUUUCUAUAGUUCAUAAAAGUAUUAUGAAUCCAUUGGCAAGUAUAUAUUUUAUCAUUAAAAAUUUGCUCCUUUGUCUUUAAUUACAUUUGCUUUAUCAGCGAUUGUUGUAUUUACUUUCAUAAAUUCUAAAAGUUCUAUGUAAGUUGUUGUAGAGUUUCUUAAGAUUAUUAUUAUCUUCAUUGUUUUAAGAUAAAAUUGUGUGUCCUAAAGAUAUGCAGGUAUUAUUGACAUAUUUGGAAAGCAUUGAAGUGCAACUUGGUGAACUACAAAAUACAACAAAUUUAAUUUUAAUCAUAAUUAGAAAGAGUAAGAAAGAUAUCUCAACUAAUUAUUUGCCUAACAGAGUGACAUUUCCACUAAAAACUGUUGAGAAUCUAAGUACUCUAGAAAAAAAAUGAAUAACAAGUAAAUACUUAAGCAAAUGGUAAAUAUUUUUUAGGAUCGAUUUAUGCAUUUUGUUUGAUAUCUUUAUACAAAUGAUGAACUUUAAACAAAAUACCCUUUGAAGUGUUUUUGGAAACGAGAUUUUAUAAUUAUCACAAAGUUGUAUAUUUUUUGCAGGUUAAAUAUUAUGGACAAAUCGGAGUUAAAGGCGAAAGAGAUUAUGUAUGUUAUUUACUAAGAAUAGUUUUUAAAAAUGGCUGAGCUGAAAUAUUAAACUAUGUAGGGAGAGGACAAAAAAUCGGAAAAGGAAAAAGGUUAAUUGUAUAUGUUGCUAUUAAAGGUGUGAAGUCAAACAAGCAUGACUUAUGGAGGCAUGUGAUAGAGAUGGUUAAAGAAAAGAUGAUCGUCAUGGGCACCAAAUAUUAUUAGCUAAACACGAUUCAAUAACAACUAGCUUAGCCAAUAUCAAAACUACUCCAUAAAUUUUAUAUGGAAUUUUUUUAUUUAAAACUCAAUGUGUUAGUUUUCGGUUUAUCUUUGGUGUUUACAAAUGUAUACUUAACGGAGAAAUUGUGUAAAUUCAAUAAAUAUAUUUUUAUACUUGUAUCAUA